UGGGGAAUAUUGCGCAAUGGAGGAAACUCUGACGCAGCAACGCCGCGUGAAGGAUGAAGGUUUUCGGAUUGUAAACUUCUUUGAUCGGGGACGAAAAUGACGGUACCCGAGGAACAAGCCACGGCUAACUACGUGCCAGCAGCCGCGGUAAUACGUAGGUGGCAAGCGUUGUCCGGAAUUACUGGGCGUAAAGGGCGUGUAGGCGGGGAGACAAGUCGGAUGUGAAAUUCCAUGGCUUAACUGUGGAGCUGCAUCUGAAACUGUUUUUCUUGAGUACUGGAGAGGAAAGUGGAAUUCCCAGUGUAGCGGUGAAAUGCGUAGAGAUUGGGAGGAACACCAGUGGCGAAGGCGGCUUUCUGGACAGUAACUGACGCUGAUGCGCGAAAGCGUGGGGAGCAAACAGG
rnacentral:rRNA from 2 species